rnacentral:rRNA from 1 species
AGAGUUGAUAUGGCUCAGGAUGAACGCUAGCGGCAGGCUUAACACAUGCAAGUCGAGGGGCAGCGGGAUGUAGCAAUACAUUGCCGGCGACCGGCGGAUGGGUGCGUAACGCGUAUGCAACCUACCUUAUACAGGGGAAUAACCUUUCGAAAGGGAGACUAACACCCCAUGGUAUUGAUUUAAGGCAUCUUAGAUUAAUUAAAUAUUUAUAGGUAUAAGGAUGGGCAUGCGUAUGAUUAGCUAGUUGGUAAGGUAACGGCUCACCAAGGCGACGAUCAUUAGGGGUUCUGAGAGGAAGGUCCCCCACACUGGUACUGAGACACGGACCAGACUCCUACGGGAGGCAGCAGUGAGGAAUAUUGGUCAAUGGGCGCAAGCCUGAACCAGCCAUGCCGCGUGCAGGAAGACGGCCUUAUGGGUUGUAAACUGCUUUUACAUAAGACUAACCGUAUAUUUGCGAAUAUACCUGAAUGUAUUAUGAGAAUAAGGAUCGGCUAACUCCGUGCCAGCAGCGGC